rnacentral:pre_miRNA from 1 species
AUGUAGUGUGACAUGCCCGUUUGGGAAUUACUCAGAUGCAUGUUUAUUUAUUAUUAAAUUAAUUUUGGGUAACGGGGUGUUACAUCCA